rnacentral:misc_RNA from 1 species
UCUAAGGAUGAUCCUUCAGAUCAGCUCACGCUAUCUAUCGGAUCGUUUUAGAAACAUUCAGGGGCCAACAGUUUCAGGAUUGUUGAGCUCCAUUGGCGGGAUUUCGCCGUCUUCGUUUCUCUUUCUUCGCGGACGAACACGCGCCAGGGGCUGAGCGCUGUGCGGUGCACCGACUAAGCGUCGCGUGCGCGCCGGCAUGUCUCUCGUGUUAGGGGCUUGUAGCUCAGUUGGUUAGAGCGCGCGCUUGAUAAGCGUGAGGUCGGAAGUUCAAGUCUUCCCAGGCCCACCAUUUUGAUCGAGUGCGGAGCAUUCGUCUUCUGGUACGGGGCCAUAGCUCAGCUGGGAGAGCGCGUGCUUUGCAAGCAUGAGGUCGUCGGUUCGAUCCCGUCUGGCUCCACCAGAUGGUUUGAUCACCAACGGCGUUACCGUCGUCCGCGAAACAUCACUUCGCACUCAUUGGUCCGGAUGGACGGUGACGUGCGUGUUUUCUGACAUCGUAAAGAGGAGAUCGAUCCGAGUUUGGAUCAAGCGAAGCAAUUCGCCUGAACCAUUCAUUAUCUCCGGGAUCAUUUCGGCGCUCGCGCAUCGCAGUUCAUCGCAAGAUGAGUGGGGUGAGCGGGUUGUAAAUGAUCUCUUUUAGCGAAGCUUGACCGCCUCGCUAUCGGGCCGAUCUUACGAAGCAAGCUGGUCUUUCUAGUCAAUGUCCGGCUGCGCAAUCGCAUUCAUCGAGGAUGCGUGCCUGGGACUUCGGUCUUCGGGCAGUUGCGCAGACAACAUUCUGCCGAGUGUGUGGACAUUGAUAAUGAGAGCAAUCAAGUGCCUUAAGGGUGUUCGGUGGAUGCCUUGGCGCUGAGAGGCGAUGAAGGACGUGCUACGCUGCGAUAAGCCGUGGGGAGCUGCGAAGAAGCUUUGAUCCGCGGAUUU